GCCAUCACCAAAUUACUAUAUACCAUUAUGGUGCCAUCUCUUGCAUCACUCCAGGCUUUUAAUAAGUCCCUUGGUGACAACAAAAGAACCUUAGUGCACCUUCUUCCUCACUCCUCUCAAGAAGCAACCACCAUACCAUUUUGCUUUCAAUGGCCAC